ensembl:lncRNA
UGUGAGAAUUAAACAGACUUCAAAACACUUGUGGAGUCCUGAGAAUCACGAGGUCAGCACAGAGGUGUUUGUGAUGGCUGCAGGAUUUAGUAGCUACGGCAGAAAGUCACAGAAUUUAAACAUUAGUAAUUCUGAUGGAAGCGUCUGUUGAUGAUUUUAGCUAUGCUUGCAGAAAAGUAUACCCAAAGACAUACAGAACAACCAUGUGUAGAUUAAGAAGAUGACAAAGGAAUAAUGGCAUGGAAAGAAUGAAGGUCUAUGAACUUAGGCACUUUCUAGUAUUGUAGAGACAGCAAUUGGUUGUCUCCUAAUCCUUUGGGUUGGUUACAGUUAUUUCUCCAUCACUGUAGUUUGCUCCUUUUCUCACCAAAGGAUUUCAUCUUGGGAAGGCUGUUGUACCCCUUCCUGGCGAUUCAGGUGUGAGACAGCAAUCUGCUAAAUAUCAGUUUUAUUGUCUUCCAAGUGAGCCGCCUAAAGGACACUCCGGACUCACGUAAGUGCCUCCAGAGCUGUUCUCCAGCUCCCCAAAUAGGUACACAGACAAGCCUGGACGCCGCCAGCCAUCGUUUCAG